rnacentral:rRNA from 1 species
GAAAAGCACCCCGGAAGGGGAGUGAAAUAGAACCUGAAACCGUGUGCUUACAAGUAGUCAGAGCCCGUUAAUGGGUGAUGGCGUGCCUUUUGUAGAAUGAACCGGCGAGUUACGAUUUGAUGCAAGGUUAAGCAGUAAAUGUGGAGCCGUAGCGAAAGCGAGUCUGAAUAGGGCGUUUAGUAUUUGGUCGUAGACCCGAAACCAGGUGAUCUACCCUUGGUCAGGUUGAAGUUCAGGUAACACUGAAUGGAGGACCGAACCGACUUACGUUGAAAAGUGAGCGGAUGAACUGAGGGUAGCGGAGAAAUUCCAAUCGAACCUGGAGAUAGCUGGUUCUCUCCGAAAUAGCUUUAGGGCUAGCCUCAAGUGAUGAUUAUUGGAGGUAGAGCACUGUUUGGACGAGGGGCCCCUCUCGGGUUACCGAAUUCAGACAAACUCCGAAUGCCAAUUAAUUUAACUUGGGAGUCAGAACAUGGGUGAUAAGGUCCGUGUUCGAAAGGGAAACAGCCCAGACCACCAGCUAAGGUCCCAAAAUAUAUGUUAAGUGGAAAAGGAUGUGGCGUUGCCCAGACAACUAGGAUGUUGGCUUAGAAGCAGCCAUCAUUUAAAGAGUGCGUAAUAGCUCACUAGUCGAGUGACACUGCGCCGAAAAUGUACCGGGGCUAAACAU